rnacentral:lncRNA from 1 species
UUCCACUUUCCCCCUACUCCUGAAUGUCUAAAGAACUCUCAAUGCAUAUUAGCCAUCACCAUGGUUGAGACCCAGACCUCUGCAGAGACAAUCUUGAUCCUCUGGCUCCUGCUUCACAUUGCCCAUUCACCCUCAGCACUGAAAUCCUUACCUCAAGCGCUGGGAAUUCAGGCCAUGGAAGAUUAGGAGGCUCACAGCAGGUAUAUGCAAAGACCUCCUGAAAUUACAGGAGCAAACUCCUUCCGCAUCUCGACCUAAUUAAGAUCCGUUACUCAACAGUGAUCAGUCAGAUUUUACUGUAAGAAGGAAGAAAACAAGGAUCCUGCUAGAACAACAUGGAAACAGGCUGAUCUUAGGACCUACAACAAAGAGAUUUCUCACUGGCUUCCUGGUGGUUCAUUCAAUAGGGAAUUCCUGCAGCAAGUUGGAGGGAGGGAGGAGAAGCAGGGAGGCCACCUCCUGUCAAAGCUGGGACAUCUGAGAGACAGUGGUCACACAACAACUCAACUGCAUGUGCACCUAAAACACACUGAUUCCAUGAACAGAGAUUCAUGCCACUGUGUAGUCUGCAACAAAACAUUGAAGAUGGUUUCCAAUAUCCAGAUGGACAGGCUGACCAUGAGUGCAAAUCUUCUUGUCCUUAGGAAAAAAAACUUCAAAGGGUAGACAACAGCCAAAUACCGAUCAACGGCAAUGCAGGAAAGACACACACAGAGAUCCAAUAUUGGCUGGAAUGCUGACUAUAAUCACAAAGAUGUAAACAAUGGGAAACAAAUAGUGAUCCAGGUCAUGCUGUUCUUCAAUACAUGUGCUGUUCAUUUUUUCCUUUUUAAGGAGCUUGAUAAAUCUGUGCCUGCAUCAAGUCAA